GAUCAUUUCACCUUCUUUGUCUCACGAACUUUCCCUCCAUGUUAAUAAUAAUAAUAAAGCCUGCCCCGUUUUAAGUGUUUUAACCCUUGAUCACUGAUACCCUGUCCGACUGACGUAGGGCCCCGUAACGUAUGUCAAGGCUCUGCCUAAAUUCGUUGGGGUUCUGUCUCGUGACGUAGGGAUAAAGUAGAAUUGGGUUACUAUACUUAAUGUGGGUGCACUAUAUAUUUUAUUAAAUAAUCCAGGAGUUGUACCCAAAAUAUAGCAACCCUCCCGAAUAUUUUUCUGACACCCUACACUUCCUGAAAUACAUCCCAUACGUGAAAACCGAGUCCGAAUUAUAAUAUAGUAUUAAAAAUAAAUGGAAAACAAGAAAAAGUAAGUUGAGGCGGGCCGCGUAGACCCACCCCAAACUUAACGCGGGCCGUGUGAGGGUGUAACUGGACUCCGCUGAAUUCUUUAGUUCAUGCGGGCCGCGUAAGGCCACACCGUUAGUUUAUGCGGGCCGCGAGUGUCCCAAUUGGUGGCGCGGCCCGGUGAUGACACGUGUCAUCAUCGUGGCAAGGCUAGAUCAUGACCAGGACAAGCUACGCGUUGACCCAGUAUUGACGCGGGCCGCGUAAGCCUUGCCUGUUCUUUACGCGGGCCGCGUGGGAACCAGUUUCAGCAACUAUAUAAGGAACGCAUCGGAUUUCAAUUCAGUUCGCUCAUUUCUCAAUUCUCAAUCACAAUUUCUGUAGAAGGCUUAUUAUACUCGGGUAUUAUGCCCCCUAAUUAGCGAAGCUCUGCCUCGUUUAUGACCGUAACUUAGUGUGAAGCCAAUAAAAGCCAGCUGGAGAGCACUGAAGGCUUGGAAAAAUGGCUAUAAAGUUACCUAAAAUAAAAUAGCUGUUUUUAUUAAUAAAAAUAGGAUUUAUUCCUAUGAAAGCGUGUAUACUGAAAACUUGGGUUUUACCCAUGUGUUUAAUAUUAUGAAAAUGUGGUGGUUUUACU
rnacentral:lncRNA from 1 species